GUAUUGUAUAUCAUAAAUUUACAUUGUUGUUUAUCAUUGAAUGACAUCAAUUGUUCAUCACAGUGUAUAGUGUGUACCUAAUGUUUACUAUUUUAGGCCAAACCAUAAAGACAUAAAGUUCUGUUUCAGGCAAGUCUGUCGAUUCAAUUUUUUUCUUCUGACCCCGGCCAGUUGUACGAUAUCCACUGAAUAGUCUUUAUAGUAAUUUUUUCAACUGUUGAAAAAUUAAAAAUAUAAAAAUAAACGUUCU